GGGUUUGAGUGGAUAAACGAGUGUGCGCAAUGUGAUACAUUUGUGUUUUGAUCGGUUUGCGCAACAAUUCAUACGCAACAUGAUCGUCAUACCAUCACUCAAAUAUACAAAAAAGAGAGAAAUGUCAACCAAUCCAGUAUAAAAAAAAAUAACUGAAAAUUAAAACCAAACAUGAGAAACCAUGUGACCUUUGCUCCGUCUCAAUCUCAACAUCCGUAACGUCAAAGGUACACCGCACGCACUAUAACACGUGAUGUUGUACAUUUAUUAAUCAACACACUCAUCAUUAUGACAUCAGACAAGAAAACAGCCGCCGCGCCGCUGCAUUUUAUGUUUAAGAAUCCUGAAAGAAAAUUGAAGCGCCAUAAUAAUGCUACGUCGUACACAUCAAAAUAAUUACAUUUGUUUUGGUAUUGGUUUUGCUGCAGAAGCGAAAGAAGGUCAGUGGAAAUAAAUCUGUUCCUUCCAUUAGAAAAUUAUUGUUUCAAUUUUAAUGCAAAAAUUUUGAAAAAAGAUUUUUAUUUUUAUGUAUGUAUGUAACAUCACUAAUAUUAGUGAUGAUGGACUACACUUUCAUCUCCUUUAUAAUUAGCUGUAUGUACCUCUAUUUUUAAAAUAUGAUUAUACAAUGUACACUAAAAGGCGUUUUAACGAGGAGGGUAGAAUAAUAUUAAUUAAUUAUUCUACCCUCCUCGCGUUUUAAUCAUAAGAGUACUAGUCCGAGUACUAGAGUAGUUUCAAGAUCUCGUGGCGGACGAGUUUGAGCAUCACUGCGCAUCGGAUCCGACCAAACUCAGCGGCGGGCGUAGAGGGGUAGAGGCUACUGUCUGUUCCGAAAAAGUAUCCACAUAAGUAUUUAGGACGGCGUUGUAACCGAUCGCUUAACCCGAGCACUACCGACCGCGUGUACUAGACUCCGCCUCGCGCAUCUCGUCCGCCACGAGAUCUUGAAACCACUCUAAUAAUGCAUUCACUUCCAUUAUGCAUGAAUUUUGUUUUCUGAUAAAUUUCUAAGAAUUAUCUUUGUUGUUCAGAUUGCAUGGGUAUUCCCAGCUAUGAUUCGUAGUAGCAUUUAUAAAAUCACAAAUCCUGUUUAAUUUGUUUUUUGAUAUAUACUUAUCUUAAAUA